ACGGAGGGUGCGAGCGUUAAUCGGAAUCACUGGGCGUAAAGCGCACGUAGGCGGUGUCGUAAGUCGGAUGUGAAAGCCCUCGGCUCAACCGGGGAACUGCAUUCGAUACUGCGAUGCUUGAGUGCCGGAGAGGGUGGCGGUAUUCCAGGUGUAGGGGUGAAAUCCUAAGAUAUCUGGAGGAGCACCUGUGGCGAAGGCGGCUACCUGGCCGGCACCUGACGCUGAGGUGCGAAAGCGUGGGGAUCAAACAG
rnacentral:rRNA from 1 species